CAAUGGAUGAUAGUGAAUAAUUAUGGACAUGCUUUCAAAAAGGCGUAUUCUGAACAAGUGGUAUGUUAACUAUAUCGUGUAUAUUAUCCGACUGGUGCAGCUUAAGAAGAAAUUUCAGGGCUUCCAUUUACUACAUUUUUCAAAGUUCAUGUAUGAGGACAAUAUUUCUUCGCGUAUUCAUAUUUUUUAGGAGUUUGCAACAUCAAACGUUCGAAGCAAGGCAAUCGAUCAACAGGGCUCAGUCACUCAGUGCUAUGCUUAGUACUUUUUUAAAUAUCUAUCGGGAAGUCUGGCUGGGAGAAUGGAAGAAAUUCAGACGCUCAAAUGACUUCUUUUACAAUAACGUGGAGAGGAAAGGAACACACAAAAAGAUGAUGCGAAUAGCAGUGUGUCAUAUGAAUCUCAAUUUUUUGAACAAGAAAAUGAAUUUGGGAUUUGAAUGAACAAAGUGAAGAUAUUGCUGAAAAUUAUGACAAGCACCAAGAGUUAACCACCAAAACACAGGACUCUGAAGAUAUCUUUACCAAGCAAUCUAUCUCUAUUAUUACAGAGGAACCCAAACAACCAUGUCAACAUAGUCAAAGUCAUUUGUCACCCACUGGCCACUAUACUGGGCUAUUGUUACAGUUUGACUUUGCAUCAAAUGUAUCACGUCAGCAAUCCUUUGUUGUUCAUGAUUAUAAUGCAAACAAAAGAACAAUUAUGCAUAAUUCAUUUGUAUUUGUACAUCGAUAUCCCCACCUAUUGCUUGAUGGCUAUGGUUGGAUAUUGUGCUGCUCAUGUGAUGCAAAUAGAAAGCAAUUUGUUGAAGCCCUACCUAAUAAUAUACAAUUAGAUCCUCAAAAAGGUAUGUAAAAUAGAUGUUACUGAAAUGAAAUGAUUAAAACAGGCCAAACAACAUUUUUGUACUUGUCAGAUAUACCAUAUCCUAGUUGCAUACACAUAUUAGCAAUGGAAAAAAUAUCUGGUUGUGUAUGAUAGAAAGUUUGGUUUUGAAGCCAAAGAUUAUAUUGAAAAAAAAUGCAGAAUCCACAUCCAUGAUGCAGUCUGUUUUCAGUGAUCAUUCCUACCAUGAGAUGCAACCUGAAGAAGACUUGUUUAGUGCAGUGUGCAGGGAGGUUCAGUGGAGUGCUGUAAAACCAGUGAAUAGUCCAU